AGUAUUCUGCUAGCAGCCUUCAGAUGAAGAUGUAGAACUCUUAGCUCCUCCAGCACCAUGCCUGCCUGGAUGCCACCUUGAUGAGAAUGGCCUGAACCUCUGAACCUGUAAGCCAGCCCCAAUUAAAUGUUGUCCUUAUAAGUGUUGCCUUGGUCAUUGUUGUCUGUUCACAGCAGGAAAACCCUUACUAGACAGAUUCUCUCCAAAGAACAGUGCCCAGAGCAGGAAUACUUUUGAAGGAAUGUAGAAGUCAGAUAGACACUGCUUCAGCUGCUCACGUUCCGGGGAGGGGAAUGGUGUUUUUAUUGAUCCAUCUGUGAGCCAGAGAGUCGUCAGUACUUCACCUGGAGUAACCAACUCCUUGCAUGUUCUGGUCAGCUCUGUGAGGUGACUACUGCUGCUGUCAGAGGCCAGUGUAGUGGAGGAGUGGCAGCAUGCAUGUGAGUCACUGCCACAUACCUCAAGUCCUCAGUGGCAUCUCAGGAAUUAAAUUCAGGGUUGCCAAGAUAUAUGUUGAACAGGGGGAUUUUAUUCACCUAAAUAACUGGGUAAUUUAAAACUUAGAAUUCAAACAAUUCAAAUUUGG
rnacentral:lncRNA from 1 species